AAGCGCAGCGCGCAGCCGCGGUUCCCAGCCGUGCCUCCCCUUCCACACCUCCCCGCAGGCUGAGGGAGCCGGCUCCGGCCUCGGCCAUCCCAGGAAGGGGCUCCCACAGUGCAGCGGCGGGCUGAAGGGCUCCUCAAGCGCAGCCAGAGUGGGCGCCGAGGCCAAGGGGGCGCCGAGGCCGAGGAGGCGCCUAGAGCGAGCGAGGGCUGCCAGGGCUGCCAGCAUGCUGUCACCUCUCACAACGAUGCUGAGGACCAGUUUGAGCCAUCAUAUGUCAGGGAGAAAAGAGGAACCUCUGGCAAGGCUAUGCCUGCUACCUGCCUUAUGAUUGGGCAGAAACUCCCACCCAUGGAAGCUGAAACUAGUUUUUAGAGAAAAUUUUCUUUGAACUGGAGGAUACAUUGUGAUUUUGGCAUCUGUAGCUGAUACUCUGCAUUGCCAUGAACCAAGAUGACAGCCUGUUAAGGCAACUGUGCAUGAUGAGAGCU
rnacentral:lncRNA from 10 species